UACGUAGGGGGCAAGCGUUGUCCGGAAUCAUUGGGCGUAAAGAGCGUGUAGGCGGCCCGAUAAGUCCGCUGUGAAAGUCCAGGGCUCAACCCUGGAAUGCCGGUGGAUACUGUCGGGCUCGAAUCCGGAAGAGGUGAGUGGAGUUCCUGGUGUAGCGGUGAAAUGCGCAGAUAUCAGGAGGAACACCAAUGGCGAAGGCAGCUCACUGGGACGGUAUUGACGCUGAGACGCGAAAGCGUGGGGAGCAAACAGG
rnacentral:rRNA from 1 species